rnacentral:rRNA from 1 species
ACACGACUACGAGUUUGAUCCUGGCUCAGAACGAACGCUGGCGGCAUGCCUAACACAUGCAAGUCGAACGAAGUCUUCGGACUUAGUGGCGCACGGGUGCGUAACGCGUGGGAAUCUGCCCUUGGGUUCGGAAUAACAGUGAGAAAUUACUGCUAAUACCGGAUGAUGACUUCGGUCCAAAGAUUUAUCGCCCAAGGAUGAGCCCGCGUAAGAUUAGCUAGUUGGUGAGGUAAAGGCUCACCAAGGCGACGAUCUUUAGCUGGUCUGAGAGGAUGAUCAGCCACACUGGGACUGAGACACGGCCCAGACUCCUACGGGAGGCAGCAGUGGGGAAUAUUGGACAAUGGGCGAAAGCCUGAUCCAGCAAUGCCGCGUGAGUGAUGAAGGCCUUAGGGUUGUAAAGCUCUUUUACCAGGGAUGAUAAUGACAGUACCUGGAGAAUAAGCUCCGGCUAACUCCGUG